AAACCAACCAACAAAAGCAAGCUACCUUUGGGGGGCAUUUGGUCUUCCAGAUUAACUUCCAAGGCCAAGUGUCUACCAUUGACUGCCUUGUGUUAAGAUUCCAGUAACAAGAAACAUGAUUUCACUUGAACACACCCUUGUUAUGUAAUUUCCAUCUAGGUUUCUCAGGCCUCAUAGAUAAAGCAGGGUGUGAGUUUAGUACUCCCAAUAGGUUAGCAGCUUCCCAAA
rnacentral:misc_RNA from 1 species